GAUGAACGCUGGCGGCGUGCCUAAUGCAUGCAAGUCGAGCGAACAGACGAGGAGCUUGCUCCUCUGACGUUAGCGGCGGACGGGUGAGUAACACGUGGAUAACCUACCUAUAAGACUGGGAUAACUUCGGGAAACCGGAGCUAAUACCGGAUAAUAUAUUGAACCGCAUGGUUCAAUAGUGAAAGACGGUUUUGCUGUCACUUAUAGAUGGAUCCGCGCCGCAUUAGCUAGUUGGUAAGGUAACGGCUUACCAAGGCAACGAUGCGUAGCCGACCUGAGAGGGUGAUCGGCCACACUGGAACUGAGACACGGUCCAGACUCCUACGGGAGGCAGCAGUAGGGAAUCUUCCGCAAAGGGCGAAAGCCUGACGGAGCAACGCCGCGUGAGUGAUGAAGGUCUUCGGAUCGUAAAACUCUGUUAUUAGGGAAGAACAAAUGUGUAAGUAACUAUGCACGUCUUGACGGUACCUAAUCAGAAAGCCACGGCUAACUACGUG
rnacentral:rRNA from 1 species